rnacentral:tRNA from 1 species
GGGCCGGUAGCUCAGAUGGGAGAGCGCUGCGUUCGCAAUGCAGAGGUCAGGAGUUCGAUCCUCCUUCGGUCCA